UACGUAGGGGGCUAGCGUUGUCCGGAAUCAUUGGGCGUAAAGCGCGUGUAGGCGGCCCGGUAAGUCCGCUGUGAAAGUCCAGGGCUCAACCCUGGAAAGCCGGUGGAUACUGCCGGGCUAGAGUCCGGAAGAGGCGAGUGGAAUUCCUGGUGUAGCGGUGGAAUGCGCAGAUAUCAGGAGGAACACCGAUGGCGAAGGCAGCUCGCUGGGACGGUACUGACGCUGAGGCGCGAAAGCGUGGGGAGCAAACAGG
rnacentral:rRNA from 1 species